GACGAACGCUGGCGGCGUGCCUAAUACAUGCAAGUAGAACGCUGAAGGAGGAGCUUGCUCUUCUGGAUGAGUUGCGAACGGGUGAGUAACGCGUAGGUAACCUGCCUGGUAGCGGGGGAUAACUAUUGGAAACGAUAGCUAAUACCGCAUAACAGUAGAUGUUGCAUGACAUUUGCUUAAAAGGUGCAAUUGCACCACUACCAGAUGGACCUGCGUUGUAUUAGCUAGUUGGUGGGGUAACGGCUCACCAAGGCGACGAUACAUAGCCGACCUGAGAGGGUGAUCGGCCACACUGGGACUGAGACACGGCCCAGACUCCUACGGGAGGCAGCAGUAGGGGAUCUUCGGCAAUGGACGGAAGUCUGACCGAGCAACGCCGCGUGAGUGAAGAAGGUUUUCGGAUCGUAAAGCUCUGUUGUAAGAGAAGAACGAGUGUGAGAGUGGAAAGUUCACACUGUGACGGUAUCUUACCAGAAAGGGACGGCUAACUACGUG
rnacentral:rRNA from 1 species